rnacentral:lncRNA from 1 species
GGCAGUCUACAAACUGAGUGCACUGCUUACACAGGAGGAAACUGACAAAGAGGCCCCAGAGGAGGCAGAUUCUAGCCUGCAGCUUCCCCAUCCCUCAAAGCAUGCAGGUUAUGCUUCUUGAGAUGCAAAACUGAAAUCUAAUCACGAGGAGCCGUCACAUAAACCCAAUUUGAGGAACCUUCUACAAAACAACUGGCCUGUAACCUGGUUGCAGAGAGGAAAGGAGGAAAUUUUUCGAUAGAAAAAUCUUGGAGAUCCUGUUGCUGUCACCCAUCGGGCUGUUGGAAGCUGGGGUUAGUCCAGAAGUCUUCAGUAUCAUGUGCAAUGUACAAAUAAAAAGGAACAAAAGGAGAUGCCCUGAAAAGCAAGUCUCUCUCCCACCUCUGACCCCCAGCCACGCACCCUCUCCCCACUGAGGCGUUUCCUGUACUCA